AUAACGACUCUCGGCAACGGAUAUCUCGGCUCUCGCAUCGAUGAAGAACGUAGCGAAAUGCGAUACUUGGUGUGAAUUGCAGAAUCCCGUGAACCAUCGAGUCUUUGAACGCAAGUUGCGCCCCAAGCCUUCAGGCCGAGGGCACGUCUGCCUGGGUGUCACAA
rnacentral:rRNA from 6 species